rnacentral:lncRNA from 1 species
GUUUGAACCUCUUUUAUGUUUUAAAGUAUUUAUUUAUAUAUUUAUUAGAAUCCUAAAUUCCAAAAAUCCUAACCCACCCCUCAACUCUAAACUCGAAGUCGAUUAGUUAACCUUAGGGGUAUAAAUGUCUUUUAACAUUUAUUAAAGAUGAGGGUAAAAAUGGUUAGUGUAAACAUGAAAAUUGGUAAUAUAAAUGUGGUAUUUGUGGCAAUUUUUUUUUUAACAUCCCUAGUCACCUAUAUCACAAAGCAAAGAAAAAUACGUUUUGAAAAUCAGAGACUUGUUGUAAUUAGAAGAUUGAAGACUGAAUAGUUCUGUGUUUUAUUAAUCAUAACAUGUGUUCCUUUAUAUAAGGAUUACAAG